GUGCACACUUUGGCAACACGUAUGCUAAAAUUGGAAUGAUACAGAGAAUUUUAGCAUGGCCCCUGCAAGAGGAUUACAUGCACAUUUGUGAAGAUAUGUUUUAU
rnacentral:snRNA from 1 species